rnacentral:rRNA from 1 species
UACGUAGGGGGCUAGCGUUGUCCGGAAUCAUUGGGCGUAAAGAGCGUGUAGGCGGUCCGGUAAGUCAGCUGUGAAAGUCAAGGGCUCAACCCUUGAAAGCCGGUUGAUACUGUCGGGCUAGAGUCCGGAAGAGGCGAGUGGAAUUCCCGGUGUAGCGGUGAAAUGCGCAGAUAUCGGGAGGAACACCAAUGGCGAAGGCAGCUCGCUGGGACGGUACUGACGCUGAGGCGCGAAAGCGUGGGGAGCAAACAGG